UACUUCACCGGCGUCACCUGUGUGGCUGCCAUAGCAACAAGAAAACGCUGAGUGAAGGCCUGAGUGAACGCUUCCAUGAGUUAAGAACACCGUAAUUUGUGUUUGCAUAAUACGCAGAUAAUUGUAUUGAAAACUCUUAUAAUGGACCAGCCGUACUAUAACUUAGCACUGAUUUCGAUAUAGUUUUAUUUUGACUGAAAAAUAAGCAUAUUAUUCCGUAGCUACAAUGGCCGACACCCGUGUGCUUCCCAGUGGUAAAGUUUACCGGCAGAUGUUUGACGCUCAGGUUCAGCUGUCUCUGGCUCUCUUUGACUCGCGGAGGAAGCGCGUCGAGGAUGAGGGCGACGGUCUGCUCAGUGGAGACGCGGCGGACUCCGCAUCACAGCAGCUCAAUGGGACGAUCAACAUCGCCACACGGAACACACUUUACUCUGGUGGUGAAAGAAAUGAGGACC
rnacentral:lncRNA from 1 species